GGAGCGCUGUUUUUGGAGGAAUUAGGGGAAGGAGGCUGCCUGGUAAGCCAGGAAAGGGGCUUCUGGCCGUUCUGUUGGAGCGCCUCUGACUGACUUCCCCCAUGUGUCCGUGUGGCCACACCGUGCUACUUUCAGAGGCAGUGGGCUUUUCGCUAAGCGAUAAAAAGAAGUAAAACCUUGCCUUUAGCGCAGCUCUCCAUCACUGGGCAGAUUGCUCUCCCUCCCCACUCUCCCAGGCCCAAAUUGGAUCUCAGCGCCUGGGAGCUCCAACUGCAGCAAGUGCAAAAUCCUGUCUUCGGUUUUGGAAUUUUCAUCCGCACAGACUAUAUCAGCCACGGAUAGGAUACGUGAGAAUACUAGCAUGUCAAAGCUGGGAAUCAUCCUUAGGCAUCACCUAGCCAGUCCUGCCUCUCAUUUUAAGGACCAUGUUACUUCUGGGGUAGGCUCACCCGUGAAAGCACAGGCUACUGUUAGAACUUUGCCUUCAUCAAUGCUGAUAUCAGAUGGAAGAGCUUCAAUUUUAGGCGGAAUUCCUUUAUGGAACAAUGACAAAAAAAAGUCUUAGAAUCACUGAAAAAAAUAAAGA
rnacentral:antisense_RNA from 1 species